rnacentral:rRNA from 1 species
GACGAACGCUGGCGGCGUGCUUAACACAUGCAAGUCGAACGGAAAGGCCCCUUUGGGGGUACUCGAGUGGCGAACGGGUGAGUAACACGUGAGUAACCUGCCCUUGACUUCGGGAUAACUUCAGGAAACUGGGGCUAAUACCGGAUAGGAAUCCUUGCUGCAUGGUGGGGGUUGGAAAGCUUCGGCGGUUUUGGAUGGACUCGCGGCUUAUCAGCUUGUUGGUGGGGUAGUGGCUUACCAAGGCUUUGACGGGUAGCCGGCCUGAGAGGGCGACCGGCCACAUUGGGCUUCAGAUACGGCCCAGACUCCUACGGGAGGCAGUAGUGGGGAAUAUUGCACAAUGGGCGGAAGCCAGAUGCAGCAAGGCCGCGUGCGGGAUGACGGCCUUCGGGUUGUAAACCGCUUUAAGCAGGGGCGAAGCUUGUGGUGACGGUACCUGCAGAAGAAGCACCGGCUAACUACGUG